GCCUUCGUGGAUCAAAGUAAAUUGCUUCCCAAGCAUAUAUGGAAUCCACCCAUGCAUGGAAGAGAUGCGGGUUCAAAUCCCGUCGAAGGUC